AGAGUUUGAUCCUGGCUCAGGAUGAACGCUGGCGGCGUGCCUAACACAUGCAAGUCGAACGAGCUCGAUCUUCGGAACGGGUUAGUGGCGCACGGGUGAGUAACACGUAGGUGACCUACCCCAGAGUGGGGGAUAACUUCUCGAAAGAGAGGCUAAUACCGCAUACACUCGGCCAUUCAUUUGGCCGAGCAAAGCUCCGGCGCUUUGGGACGGGCCUGCGUCCGAUUAGCUAGUUGGUAGGGUAAUGGCUUACCAAGGCUUUGAUCGGUAGCUGGUCUGAGAGGACGAUCAGCCACACUGGCACUGACACACGGGCCAGACUCCUACGGGAGGCAGCAGUGAGGAAUAUUGGGCAAUGGGCGAAAGCCUGACCCAGCAACGCCGCGUGAGGGAUGAAGGCCUUCGGGUCGUAAACCUCUUUUCUGGGAGAAGAGACAAGGACGGUAUCCCAGGAAUAAGUCUCGGCUAACUACGUGCCAGCAGCCGCGGUAAUACGUAGGAGGCUAGCGUUAUCCGGAUUCACUGGGCGUAAAGCGCACGCAGGCGGUCAUGUAAGUCAGACGUGAAAGCUCCUGGCUCAACUGGGAGAGGUCGUUUGAUACUGCAUGGCUUGAGGUUGGGAGAGGGAAGCGGAAUUCCCGGUGUAGUGGUGGAAUGCGUAGAUAUCGGGAGGAACACCAGUGGCGAAAGCGGCUUCCUGGCCCAUACCUGACGCUCAGGUGCGAAAGCGUGGGGAGCGAACGGGAUUAGAUACCCCGGUAGUCCACGCUGUAAACGAUGCGAACUAGGUGUUGGUAGUAUUAAUCCUAUCAGUGCCGUAGCUAACGCGAUAAGUUCGCCGCCUGGGGACUACGGCCGCAAGGCUAAAACUCAAAGGAAUUGACGG
rnacentral:rRNA from 1 species